AGUGAACGCUGGCGGUAGGCCUAACACAUGCAAGUCGAACGGCAGCACAGUAAGAGCUUGCUCUUACGGGUGGCGAGUGGCGGACGGGUGAGGAAUACAUCGGAAUCUACUUUUUCGUGGGGGAUAACGUAGGGAAACUUACGCUAAUACCGCAUACGACCUACGGGUGAAAGCAGGGGAUCUUCGGACCUUGCGCGAUUGAAUGAGCCGAUGUCGGAUUAGCUAGUUGGCGGGGUAAAGGCCCACCAAGGCGACGAUCCGUAGCUGGUCUGAGAGGAUGAUCAGCCACACUGGAACUGAGACACGGUCCAGACUCCUAUGGGAGGCAGCAGUGGGGAAUAUUGGACAAUGGCGCAAGCCUGAUCCAGCCAUACCGCGUGGGUGAAGAAGGCCUUCGGGUUGUAAAGCCCUUUUGUUGGGAAAGAAAAGCAGCAGGUUAAUACCCCGCUGUUCUGACGGUACCCAAAGAAUAAGCACCGGCUAACUUCGUG
rnacentral:rRNA from 1 species